GCCCGGGUGGCGAAACGGCAGACGCAGGGGACUUAAAAUCCCCCGCUGGCACCAACCCCAGCAUGCGGGUUCGAGUCCCGCCCCGGGCA
rnacentral:tRNA from 1 species